rnacentral:lncRNA from 1 species
AUGGUAAGGUGCACUGCACUGCACAUCUGAUCAGUUUCUUAACUUUUUAUCACUACGACUCGCUCUGUGAGGGUGUUAACAUGAAGCAUCCAUGUUGUCAGACACAGAGAGGGCAGUGGGUCUGCUGAGACAAUACCAGGAUAGUCUGACCAGGCCAGAGGAACAAGCCCUGAAGACCAGCGUGGGGAAGGUCUCCGCCAUCUUCGGCAGCCAACUGUUUCACGCCCUACUUGAUAUCCAAGAAUGUUACGAGGUGACCCUGCAACUGAACACAACCCAGAACGCAGUGAAGGAGGCCAGUGCUGAGGAUGCGGGGGAGAACUCUGAGGAGGAGGGAGUGUCGCGGGUACGAGUGACCAGCAGGAGGAACCCUCAGAAGGUGGAGCAUGUGUUGGGGCUGGUGAGCCGCUACCACAUCGAGACGCCUAAGGAGACAUGCAGUACCAGCAAAUCUUCUGCAAGAGGACAAAACAGUUGGUGUUAAGAAGCCCUACAACACUUUCGUCAGAGUCUUAUCCAGCUAGCCGUUCACUGCAGACCGGACAAGACCAUCGCCAUAAGCAUAAAGAGUCCCAGCUUCCCCAGCCCACCAUUGCCAGUGUACCGAAGCCGGAUAAAGGACUUAUUCUGCGUUUACACAUGCAGCCCAAUUCUGAUAUUUUUUCACAAAUUGGACCAAUUAGUGGAAAAAAGAUCAGAAUUGGGCUGACUGUGUAAACGCAGCCAGUGUGGCUCAACAUAAGACAGUGUUUCCCAAACUCGGUCCUGGGGACCCCAAGGGUUGCACAUUUUAGUUUUAGCCCUAGCACUACACAGCUGACUCAAAUAAUCAAAGCUUGAUGAUCAGCUGUGUAGUGUUAUGGCAAAAAGCUAAACAUGCACCCCUUGGGAUCCCCAGGACCGAGUUUGGGAAUUCCUGGCCUAAGACCAUGUAGGACAUGGGGUCUCCAACCCUUUUCCUGGAGAGCUAUCCUCCUGUAGGUUUUUGCUCCAACCCCAGUUGUAACUAACCUGGCUCAGUUUAUUAUUAGAAUUAGGUAGGUCCUACCGGUUGGUAUGUCUCCGGGAACAGGGUUGGAGAGCCCUGCUGUAGAACCACCAUAAAAUAAAUAUGGAUAUUUUCUAUGAAUCUUCGGAAUAUGUCGGCCCUUAUGGAUUCAUAGAAGAUAUUUAUAUAAGUUGUACAUGGCUCUGUUGCAUCAAACAGAUGCUAGACAUUCAGAUUGACAAAUAAACAAACAUUCUUUGGAUAUCUACAAUACAGGAGUGUACACUAUUUAAUGCUACAUCAAGAGAACUGGGUAUUUCACAACAAUGGUAUAUGGUAAAAGUAACAUACACAUUUGUUUUAUGAAGUACAGUAGUACAGUUCAGUGCGUCCAAAUGUGUGUCAGGUGCAGAGACACAGAAGUGCAGAGAACUGUAGUUAUAGAUUCCUACACCAGAUAAUGUGAUUCACCAAAGACGUUUGCAGACAUCUUGUCUAUGCCAAGUCUUCUUUCAUUGAUCGAGAUAGGUGUAUGUCCACCCCAAAGUACCUCAUAUCAUGAUGACAUAGACCUGUCUCGAUCAAUGUGUGAGAAGACUUGAAAUGGACACGAUGACGGCGCACGUACAGUGCAUUCGGAAAGUAUUCAGACCCCUUGACUUUUUACCAUUUUGUUAUGUUACAGCAUAAUUCUUAAAUGGAUUAAAUAGUUUUUCCCCUCAUCAAUCUACACACAAUACCUCAUAAUGGCAAAGAAAAAACAGUUUAAAAAAAAAUUGUUGCAAAUGUUUAAAUCGCCCUGAAAUAUCACAUUUACAUAAGUAAAUUCAGACCCUUUACUCAGUACUUUGUUGGAGUACCUUUGUCAGCUAUUACAGCCCCAAGUCUUCUUGGGUAUGACGCUACAAGUGUGGCACACCUGUAUUUGGGGAGUUUCUCCCAUUUUUCUCUGCAGAUGCUCUAAAGCUCUGUCAGGUUGGAUGGGGAGCGUCGCUGCACAGCUAUUUUCAGCUCUCUCCGGAGAUGUUAGAUUGGGUUCAAGUCCGGGCUCUGGCUGGGCCACUCAAGUACAUUCAGAGACUUGUCUUGAAGCCACUCCUGCGUUGUCUUGGCUGUGUGCUUAGGGUCGUUGUCCUGUUGGAAGGUGAACCUUCGCCCCAGUCUGAGGUCCUGAGCGCUCUGGAGCAGGUUUUCAUCAAGGAUCUCUCUGUACUUUGCUCCGUUAAUCUCUGCCUCGAACCUGACUAGUCUCCCAGUCCCUGGAGCUGAAAAACAUCCCCACAGCAUGAUGCUGCCACCACCGUGCUUCACCAUAGGGAUGGUGGCAGGUUUCCUCCAGACGUGACUCUUGGCUUUCAGGCCAAAGAAUUCAACCUUGCUUUCAUCAGACCAAAGAGAAUCUUGUUUCUCAUGGUCUGUGAAUCUUUAGGUACCUUUUGGCAAACUCCAAAGGGGCUGUCAUGUCCCUUUACUGAGGAGUGGCUUCUGUCUGGCCACUCUACAAUAAAUGCCUGAUUGGUCGAGUGCUACAGAGAUGGUUGUCCCUCUGGAAGGUUCUCCCAUCUCCACAGAGGAACUCUGACCAAGGCCCUUUUCCCCCGAUUGCUCAGUUUGACCGUGCGCCCAGCUCUAGGAAGAGUCUUGGUGGUUCUAAACUUCUUCCAUUUGAGAAUGAUGGAGGCCACUGUGUUCUUUUGCAAAAAUGUCUAAAAACCUGUUUUCGCUUUGUCAUUAUGGGGUAUUGUGUGUAGGUUGAUGAGGGGGG